rnacentral:lncRNA from 1 species
CUCCCUUGGAUGUCUAACGUCCUCCUCUUUGGGUGUCCAUCUUCUUCAUGCUCAUAAGGGCUUUGGGCAUUCACCUCUUGUGCUAGUUUUUAGUCCUUGGUAGCAGCAUAAUCAAAGAAAAAAAAGCAAGAGAAGAAGAGAAGAAGAAGAUCAAGGAUAGGAUUAAAGAGUUGAUCAUGAUCCAGACUUCGUUCAGAUUCGCAGGCUGAUUUUUCUUAGAGAAGAAAAAUUAAUUUUAAGAGAGCUAUUCCAGGCUGAUCUUGAAUAAAUACCCAUAGAGAUCGAGCACUUAUGCGGCUAAAAGAGAGCCUCUUCUCUUUUAGAUCUAAAUUUGAAGAAAGAAAUUAUGAAACAGGUAUGUGAUUCGAUCACAUGAUCAAUUUCAACAUAUGAAGUAGAUCCUUAUGGUUUAUAUUUUAUGCAUGUAUGAUAUAAAUUAAAAGAAGUUUUAAUCUUCUAUUUCACUACCAUGUUUAAAAAAAAAAUUUGAAACAUACAUGCAUGCCCUGACAUAGAAAUUCUAACGGUUAUAGCUACUUCAUUACCUUUACUGAUGAUUUGUCUAGGUAUGGGUAUGUGUAUCUGAUGAAACACAAAUCUUAAGCCUUUGAAAAGUUUAAAAAAUUUAGAAAUAAAGUAAAAAAAUAGACAGACAAAUUCAUUAAGGUUCUUCAAUC